AUAGAAUGGAAUGGAACAGAACAAAUCUAUGCUCUUUCUGCUCUGCCAUCAUGUACCUUGGUAACAACGUCAUUCUACAGACAUAUUAUAGUGAUGUCCAAACAAUUCUGAGUCUUCGAGAGACGCAGCUUCCCUGAUAGCAGUCAUGACUCUGUGAUACCUGCACGGCCGUUCAAAGAGCAUCCAGGCUCCAGAGACUCGCCUCCAGGCCCCCACCUCUGCUCUCUUCAACUGCCUCCUGGAUCCUCUUCCCCUUCACCGACUGCUGAACAGGAAACCUCUUUGAUGCUGUUUCUUGUGCAUCUGUCCACCCAGCCCUCAGUACUGCCCUCGAUUCCUAAGAGCCCUGGAGCAGUUUCCUACCAUUCCCUUCUUCUAGCUGCUUGUUUUAAGUCCUUUCUAUGUGGAACCUUCUAACAUCUCCUAGAAAAUCCUUCUCAGAAAAUUAAUAGGCACAGGAAUCUUUACUAUAUUUUAAAUGACUAUAUUUUCUAAGACACAUAUUCCAAAUAAAGGAUCUUUCCUCAUCA